CAAAAGUGUAGCCAUUGGCUGGAGGCCCUAGCAGGACUCGACGUUUCUUCUUCCGAGCAGUGCGUGCGAGCCAGGAAAUGGCGCAGUGAGGGUUCCCAUCCAAAAUCCCUGAUCUGUGAAACAAUGCCUGGAAAUAGACUCUGAGAUGGUCCUACUGGAAUGAAGAACUAGGCACUGCAUGUGUUUCUGCAAGGAGUCCAGUGGUGCCCAAGGAUCCUUGCUGGGACCCAUGCAGCCUUCCUGCCUGCUGAGAAGAGAGCAGUGUUCCCUGCCACCUCCAGAUGCCUGAGACUUGCACAGCUCACACCUUCAGAGGCUCCCGGUCUCUUCAAGGGAGUGGCUACAAAUGGGCAGAAGAUGCUGCUAUAUGAACAAAUUGGCCUGCAGCCAAAGAAGAAGGUCUCUGCAUCAGGAACACAUAUUUACAGCUGAAGCUCAAGAAAUUACAUGGUGACAUAGUAUUUAAGAUUGAAGACA